GGGGUUGUGGCUCAGUGGUAAAGCAUUUGCCUAGCAUGCAUGAGGCACUGGGUUCGAUUCUCAGCACCCUA
rnacentral:tRNA from 1 species